rnacentral:ncRNA from 1 species
GGAAAAGCGACGAGAAGGAGAAGUAGAAAAUCAGGCUUUUUACAGAGAGAACCACCUUUAGGCUGGAAGUGGUUUAUAAGCGGAUUUUUGAAAUGCCCCUUCGAGUCUUCUGCUGAACAACGAAUUGUUUCGUGAAAUGUCUUAGGGCGUAAAGUAAGCAGAAGCGGUGUACACCGUUAUCAUGGAUGAGUUUGAGGCUUUUUUAUUAGCCUAAACAGAGUGGAACCGCGCUUAAAAGGCGUCUCUGUC